rnacentral:rRNA from 1 species
UACGUAGGCAGCGAGCGUUGUUCGGAUUUACUGGGCGUAAAGAGUGUGUAGGCGGUGCUCCCAGUCUGUUGUGAAAUCUCCCGGCUUAACUGGGAGGGUGCAGCGGAAACUAGAGUGCUAGAGGGUGGGAGAGGUAAGCGGAAUUCCUGGUGUAGCGGUGAAAUGCGUAGAUAUCAGGAGGAACACCUGUGGUGUAGACAGCUUACUGGACCACUUCUGACGCUGAGACACGAAAGCGUGGGUAGCAAACAGG